GAUGAACGCUGGCGGCGUGCCUAAUACAUGCAAGCGAACGCAUUGUGGUUGAAAUGAUAUGAAGAACUUGUUCAGAUUUGAUUUUCAACAUUGCAAUGAGUGGCGAACGGGUGAGUAACACGUGGGAAACCUACCUCUUAGCAGGGGAUAACAUUUGGAAACAAAUGCUAAUACCGUAUAAUAAUUAAAACCGCAUGGUUUUAGUUUAAAAGAUGGUCUUGCUAUCACUAAGAGAUGGUCCCGCGGUGUAUAGUUAGUUGGUGAGGUAAUGGCUCACCAAGACAAUGAUACAUAGCCGAGUUGAGAG
rnacentral:rRNA from 1 species